AUACGGAGGAUCCGAGCGUUAUCCGGAUUUAUUGGGUUUAAAGGGCGCGCAGGCGGCCAUUUAAGUCAGCGGUUAAAUCGUGGGGCUCAACCCCAUUCUGCCGUUGAUACUGGGUGGCUUGAUUGCGGUCGAGGUUGGCGGAAUUCGUUGUGUAGCGGGGAAAUGCAUAGAUAUGACGAAGAACACCGAUUGCGUAGGCAGCUGACCAGACCGCAAAUGACGCUCAUGCACGAAAGUGCGGGGAUCGAACAGGAUUAGAUACCCUGGUAGUCCGCACAGUAAACGAUGAAUACUUGUUUUCGGCGAUAUAAUGUCGGAGGCAAAGCGAAAGCGAUAAGUAUUCCACCUGGGGAGUACGCCGGCAACGGUGAAACUCAAAGGAAUUGACGGGG
rnacentral:rRNA from 1 species